GGCGAACGGGUGAGUAACACGUGAGUAACCUGCCCUUGACUCUGGGAUAAGCCUGGGAAACUGGGUCUAAUACUGGAUAUGACCUUUCACCGCAUGGUGGGGGGUGGAAAGCUUUUGUGGUUUUGGAUGGACUCGCGGCCUAUCAGCUUGUUGGUGGGGUAAUGGCCUACCAAGGCGAUGACGGGUAGCCGGCCUGAGAGGGUGACCGGCCACACUGGGACUGAGACACGGCCCAGACUCCUACGGGAGGCAGCAGUGGGGAAUAUUGCACAAUGGGCGCAAGCCUGAUGCAGCGACGCCGCGUGAGGGAUGACGGCCUUCGGGUUGUAAACCUCUUUCAGUAGGGAAGAAGCCGUGAGGUGACGGUACCUGCAGAAGAAGCGCCGGCUAACUACGUGCCAGCAGCCGCGGUAAUACGUAGGGCGCAAGCGUUAUCCGGAAUUAUUGGGCGUAAAGAGCUCGUAGGCGGUUUGU
rnacentral:rRNA from 1 species